UCAUAGACAAAAAAGGAGGAGAUGUUGGCAGCCGCACUCAGAAAAUAGCGCCCAAUGCAGGGCAGCCGGAAGGCCCCAAACUUCCUAAUGACAAAUCAUCCCACACCACUAAACUACAUGCUAAUUGCGCCUUGGCAUAAGGACCAAUGAGACCCACCAAAUUGUUAUGCUAAUAAGGCAUAUGGAGCCGCACCAACCAGGUCAGAGCAUGAGAACUAUAUAAGCAAGCCUCUCCUUCCCCUCUAG